AUUUCUGGAGCGCAAUCGAUCGCGCGUUAGAUUUCUAAUCCAAAGGUCGUGGGUUCAAUUACCACCUGGGAUG